CGGGGCGCCCGCGAGCGGCUCGGCGGGGUUGCCCGACCCCAGGGCGGCGGCCGCGGUCACCGCCCUCGCCCCGCGGUUCCCCGCAGCGACUGGUUCCUGCCGCGGCUCCGGGUUUCCUUCCGCGAAAUGAAAGCGGGCGGCGGCGCGUCGGUAGGAGCAGCGGCUCCGGGCUAGAGAGCAGCUGCUCCCAUCCCGCAGUGUCUCGUAACGGACCGUGCCAAAGUCAGCCGUGAUCUGAAGAUGGAAGCUGUUCUUUGAGAGAAGAUGAAGAUUGGAGCGGGGGUGCGGCGGGGAGAGCAUUCCACAGGAAGUGCUACGGGGGCCUGCACCUGGGGAAGGAGGAAUCCAGCCAAGGGAGGGGGAGGCUGAUGUGGCUGGAAUGGGUGGUGCCACCUGGGCGAGGAGGCGGCACCAGAGGUCGGCUGGGUCCCUGCGGCGAUGGCCACUCACCCGAGGACGUCGACCGUCCUGCUGCUCGGAGCGGCGUCUCCCCAGCUCCGCCGGCCCGGCCUCCCUCCACAAACCGGUUCCCCGCGGCCCGCGGUGCAAGGGUCCAAUCUUGUCGCAUGGCUGCAUCCCGAGUCCCUGCACCGGGGUGAACUGUCAAACUGGGAAUCCCGGAGGCAACGUGGCCUCGUUCAACAGCAAGCCUUCCUGGCGGGCAAAGCUCUGGCGCCCCGGAGCCUUUGUGAGGAGGCGCCAACCAAAGGCCUCUUAGUUGGGGGAUCCGCGUCCUGGGCCCCCGCUGCCGCCUCAUCCCCGGGCCUCAGGCCCGACGGAACGGGCGUCACUUGCCCCGAAGCCUCGCUGAGCAGUGGACGGCUCCCUCCGAGGGGAAGGCUGGAGGCCGUGCUCCCACCUCGGCUCUGCCUCGGUCAUCCCCGUGCCCUGGAGCCGCGGGGACGGAGGACACCCCCGACACGCUGGCAGUGCACACAAGACGUAAAUGAACAUACACGAGCUGCGUGACACACGAUACCGGCUCCUGAAGUAGACCCUGGAAAGGGCCAGUGUCCUUUCUCCCUAUACUUCCCGGCCCCUUAAGUACUGAAACACUAUCAGUACCCCACAAUAUCAGACCCACAGGCAGAACACACGUCAGAGCUCCAAUCCCCUCGACAAUCCUCAUAAAUGAUUAGCCCCCACUGAGCUCUUCCAAAAAAAAUUCUUUUUGCACUA